rnacentral:miRNA from 1 species
UAUACGUGUGUAUGUAUGUGCAUGUGUGUGUAUGCGUACACACACAUGCACACACACACACACUUAUCUAAACACUCACAU